rnacentral:misc_RNA from 1 species
CCUAGCACAAGCAUUCCUCUGCUUCCUUCCUCCAAAAUCAAAAUGUUCUCUCUAUGUCUUUAGCUAAAGCUCUGCUACAUUGCUUCUGCUUCUGCUUCUGCUUCAUCUUCCUUCUCUGCUUCGUGUUUUGUCCCAAGACAUAAGUGGUCCUUCUCUACAAUCAACCAAGCCUUCUUGUGUUCCAUUUUAGGAAGAGGAAUGAAAC